rnacentral:lncRNA from 1 species
ACAGUCAUAGUGAAUUGCCAAAGGCAAAUAGGUUUUUGGAAAUAUCUCAAUUUCUAUUAGUCAAAUCAAGAAAUGUGUGAAGUAAAAAGUUGUAGCCCAGGCCUUUCUCUAUAAGACUGUUUCUAAGCAUUUUUUUUCUAAACUCAAUAUUUAUUAAGAAAUUUUGAUUUUUUUGACCUGCUUUCCAAAUGACGAUUCAUCUGCUGCUAGUGAGCAGGUUUUUCCAGAAUAUCUCAGUUUUUAGAGGUCAAAUGAAGAAAUGUGCAGAGUUAAAAAUUGUAGCUCAGGCCUUUUUAUAUAAAAGUGUUCCUAAACAUUUUUCUUGUAAACUCACUAUUUUUCAAGAAAUGUUGAAUUUUUUGACUGGCUUUCCCGAUCGCAUAUUCAUUUUCUGCCAACGUAAUCGACCCUUCGGCUAAAAUCGCAAAUGUUCGAGCCUACCGUUUGCAAAAUAUGAUUAAAUUGGACUAACGUUGGCAGAUUAUAUUCCAUGCCGCCCGAAGUAUGCCAUAGUUUGUUUACAUAUUAUUCACUUAGAAUUUGGCGGUUAAUGUUAUAGGCUGGUAAAAAUUGUUUAAAAAUUGAACAUUUUGUCUAUCCAGAGGCCUCAAGAGUACAAUUAUUUUGAUGUCAGCCAAAGUGAAUUCAGAAUUAACAUUAAUACUGAAGAAGAAGUAGAUAAAUGGGUAACCGAAUUAGGAGAAAUAACAAAAGUUACUUGGCGAGCUACGACGACUGUUAGAACACCUUUGAAAAAAUCUAAAAAAAAAACAUAUUUAGACGCUAUUUUCAAAGUUAAACAAUCGCGUACAACAAAGAAGUCUCGUAAUAUUGACUAUCCUGCCAAAAUGAAAAUUGUAUUAGAAAAGCCUAUGGAUAAUGCAAGUACAUGGUCCUGCGUUGUAAAUGUUUAUGAAGAACAUACUCACACCAUAGAAAGUGGAGCAGCCUUGUUGAAAAGACCUAUAGGCAACGAAACAAAAAAAUAUAUUUUUGAACUUUUUGAGAAAGGACAUACUGCUGCAACUGCCUAUCACACAUACACUAGUAUCAAGAUGGAAGAAAUAGGGGACAACUACGAAAAAAUGAUUUUAGACCGGCACUUUUUCCCGACCAAAACUGAUUUUUCCAACUUAUGGGCUGAACAUUUCAAAAAAAACUAUGGAGAAGACAUGCUCCUAACUUGAGAAAAUAAUUUAAUGAAAAGUAAAAGUACUCUUUCUAAAAUUAUUCGUAUUGGUGAUCAUUAUGCGGUUUGUUUAUGCACACCAAUAAUGCAACGAGCUGGUCAGUACCUUACACAGGCCUCAGAAAUUUUAUUUGUUGAUGCAUCAGGAAACUGCGACCUGCAAAAUCACAAGAUUUAUUUUUUUGCAACGCAGUCUCCAGCAGGAGGCAUUCCAGUUGGAUGUAUCAUCUCUAGUAGUCAGAAACAAGAGUUAUUUGAUGAAGCAGUUGAGAAUUUGAAGGCCUCGAAAAAUUUCUUCAAAAAUAAUAUUAACCGAUGAUGAUGUCAGUGAAAGAAGUAUUUUAAAAAAACAUUGGCCACAGGCAGAGCUUUUGCUGUGUUCUUUUCACGUGUUAAAGGCAGUAUGGAGGUGGCUGACUGUAUCGAAAAUUAUCCACAAUUGGCAAUAUACAUUCAGAAUAUGAUAGAUACGAAAAUUCAUGCGUGGUGCUUCUAUUAUAGACAAACACUAAUGACUCGAGGCUCAGACACUAAUAAUUACAUAGAGGUUAUGUUCAGGUUGUUCAAGGACAUUCCAUUAGAAAAAACAAAAGCCUUUAAUCUAACACAGCUAACAGAUUUUGUCAUUACGAACUUUGAAGCGUAUUACAAACAGAGAAUAUUUGAUAUAAUUCUAAAUAGAGAACGUCAAAGUAGAUUAAGGCAUUUAUGCCCUGACGAGAAAAACGUUUCCUUGGAUAAAAUAAAAUGUUUAAAUGUAACAGAUAAUAUUGUUCAGGGCUCUUCAGAUUCUGAUGUUCACUAUUUUGUAAUGUUUUAUAGUGUAGUAAGUCUGCGGUUAUAAAAUUUUUUCAUGUUGUUGAUGUAGUAAAUACGUUGACCACUACCACUAAAAAAAUUAUGUAUGAAAUUGCAACCAAUAUGAAACCUUCUGCGCAAACAUUUGCCCCACUGAUUUUGGAAAAAUUGAAGAAAAUUGAUGACGUUGAUAUUAAUCCUAUCUGUACCCCUCAAACUACCGACAUACAAAUUAUGGAUGGUAUACAACAAGACGAAAAAGAAAAUCUGUUUCAGGAAUCUGGAACAAUUAUUAGUGUUAACAAUAUAUCCGAAGAGGAUGUAAAAGACGUCAAUAGAGAUUGGAAAUUGUUGAAAAAGUAAUGGACCAUUUGAAUAAUGACCCAGUUAAUUUUUAUCCAACAAUUAAAACGUUUCUGCAUAAUUCCCAGCUUUACGGUAGAAGUUCUGGUUCUUUAAUGUCAGGGCUUUACAAAGCUUUCAAAUAUCAGGGUGUAAAUACGAAAAAUAGACAAUUCGUAUCCAGAAAAGGGAAGAAAAUUGCUGUGCAGCCAACUGCUGUUGCAAGAAGAAAAACAUCAAUGAGUGGACGCAGAAAUCAGUGUUGGUUAAGCGCAAACUCAAGGCUCCUCACUCACUACAAGCAUGUGUUGACAAUAAUAUUGCUUUAAGUGUUAAUAAAUUCAAAAAAUAAUGUAUUAUUUUUUAAAUUAAUUUUAUUUGUUUA